CAGUAGCCGCGGAAAACGGAGGGUGCAAGCGUUAAUCGGAAUUACUGGGCGUAAAGCGCACGCAGGCGGUCUGACAAGUCAGAUGUGAAAUCCCCGGGCUUAACCUGGGAACUGCAUUUGAAACUGUCAGGCUGGAGUCUUGUAGAGGGGGGUGGAAUUCCAGGUGUAGCGGUGAAAUGCGUAGAGAUCUGGAGGAAUACCGGUGGCGAAGGCGGCCCCCUGGACAAAGACUGACGCUCAGGUGCGAAAGCGUGGGGAGCAAACAGGAUUAGAUACCCGUGUAGUCCCUGUCUCUUAUACA
rnacentral:rRNA from 1 species